GACGAACGCUGGCGGCGUGCUUAACACAUGCAAGUCGAACGGAAAGUCCCUGCUUUUGUGCGGUCCUCGAGUUGCGAACGGGUGAGUAACACGUGAGUAACCUGCCCUUCACUUUGGGAUAUCUUCAUGAAACUUGGUCUAAUACCGCAUAGGAUCUCCUGCUUCAUGGUGGGCGUUGGUUAGUUUCGGCGGUUGGUGAUGGACUCGCGGCUUAUCAGCUUGUUGGUUGGGUAGUGGCUUAGCAAGGCUUGGACCGGUAGCAGACCUGAGAGGAUGAGCGGCCAAAUUAGGACUGAGAUACGGCACAGACUACAACGGGAGGGAGGAGAGGGGAAUAUAGCAGAAUGGGCUGAAGCAAGAUGCAGCAAAGCAGCGUGGGGGAUGACGGGCAUGGGGUAGUAAACCGAAUUCGCAUGAGACGAAGCGAGAGUGACGGUAAUGGGUAAAGAAGCACCGGCUAACUACGUG
rnacentral:rRNA from 1 species